GAACACAGCUUUGACGGAGGUGAAGCGUGACAACUUUGUCACUCUCCGGGCAUGCAAGGAUAGGGUGAAAACUCUCCAAGAGGCUCAUACGAAGGACGAGUUGAAAUCUCUUAGAGCGUCUGGGACAGAUGAGGAAUACGACGAGCGAGCCCAGCUGCUUACUGAGUUGGCCAGCCUUAGUUAGGAAAGGGCGGCCAAAAAGCAGGAAGAAAAACCCGAUCUCAAGGAAGCCCAGGGACGACAAAUACGCCAGGCUGCUAUGGAGACGCUGAAAGUAAGAGACGAUCCAGAAGAACACGCGGAUGGUUUUGAUCGUGAGUUGGACGGAGCUGAUGAAAAUCUCGAACAUCAUGGAAAGAAAGCUGCGAAUUGCACCACCAAGCCGGCAACGAAGAAGCGUCGAACUGAUUCUGCAGAGUACGUGACGUAUCUAAAAGAUAAACUUACCUUUGAAAAAGAGCGUUUCGAAGUAGAAAAGAAGGAAAGAGAGGCGAGGAUCCAGAGGGAUCAGCAAAUGAUGGAAAUGAUGAUGGCGUUGGCCAAAAACAAAAAUUAGAUGC